GAUCGAUCGAUCCACCCUGUGAACCAAACGUCCCCCCUUGGGUGUGGGCUUGUCCUACCCCAAGGCGUCGGUCCCCUGGCUGGGGUCUUCGGACCGCAGUUAGGUCCGGCGGGCGCGCCCUCUGGUGUGUCGGUCCUCGUGGCCGCCGUCAGCUGGGUUCGUUGGAAAUUAUACUCAACUCAACCCACCCCAAACCUCAAGUUUUACUAAAGCAAUCAGUGAGUGCGCCUCGGUGCCUCACUUUAACCAAAGACAACUCUCAACAACGGAUAUCUUGGCUCCCGUAUCGAUGAAGAACGCAGCGAAAUGCGAUACGUAGUGUGAAUUGCAGAAUUCCGUGAACCAUCGAAUCUUUGAACGCAAAUUGCGCCCAAGGCUUCGGCCGAGGGCAUGUCUGCCUCAGCGUCGGCUUACCCCCUCGCUCCCCUUCUCUUUUGGAUUAGGUGUGAGCGGAUCUGGCCUUCCCGGCUCCGUGCUUUUGCGCGUCCGGGUCGGCUGAAGUGUAGAGGCUUGAGCAUGGACCCCGCUUGUAGGGCAAUGGCUUGGUAGGUAGCCUAGCUACACCGCCUGCCGUGGCCCGAGGGGACUUUGCUGGCGGCCCAGCAGGAAUUCGGGUGUUGGGUUCCCUAACCCCGAAAGCUAACACCUUCGACCUGAGCUCAGGCAAGACUACCCGCUGAACUUAAGCAUAUCAAUAAGCGGAGGAAAAGAA
rnacentral:rRNA from 1 species